rnacentral:rRNA from 1 species
GCUUAACACAUGCAAGUCGAGCGAGAAUCGUUUUGCUGAAGGCUUCGGUCUGACGCAGAAUGAGGGAAGCGGCGAACGGGUGAGUAACGCGUGGGCAACCUGGCCUUAAGAAAAGGAUAGCCCCCGGAAACGGGGAGUAAUACUUUAUGAGAAUGAAAGAGGGCAUCCUACUUUCAUUCAAAGCGCAAGCGCUUAAGGAUGGGCCCGCGUAUCAUUAGCUAGUUGGUGAGAUAACAGCCCACCAAGGCAACGAUGAUUAGCCGGUCUGAGAGGGCGAACGGCCACAUUGGAACUGAGAGACGGUCCAAACUCCUACGGGAGGCAGCAGUGGGGAAUAUUGCGCAAUGGAGAAGAACUCUGACGCAGCCAUACCGCGUGAGCGAAGAAGGUCUUCGGAUCGUAAAGCUCUGUUAUCAGGGAAGAAGAAAAUGACGGUACCUGAUGAGCAAGUCCCGGCUAACUACGUGCCAGCCGCCGCAGUAA